ACGAACGCUGGCGGCGUGCCUAAUACAUGCAAGUAGAACGCUGAAGAGAGGAGCUUGCUCUUCUUGGAUGAGUUGCGAACGGGUGAGUAACGCGUAGGUAACCUGCCUUGUAGCGGGGGAUAACUAUUGGAAACGAUAGCUAAUACCGCAUAACAAUGGAUGACACAUGUCAUUUAUUUGAAAGGGGCAAUUGUUCCACUACAAGAUGGACCUGCGUUGUAUUAGCUAGUAGGUGAGGUAAUGGCUCACCUAGGCGACGAUACAUAGCCGACCUGAGAGGGUGAUCGGCCACACUGGGACUGAGACACGGCCCAGACUCCUACGGGAGGCAGCAGUAGGGAAUCUUCGGCAAUGGGGGCAACCCUGACCGAGCAACGCCGCGUGAGUGAAGAAGGUUUUCGGAUCGUAAAGCUCUGUUGUAAGUCAAGAACGGGUGUGAGAGUGGAAAGUUCACACUGUGACGGUAGCUUACCAGAAAGGGACGGCUAACUACGUGCCAGCAGCCGCGGUAAUACGUAGGUCCCGAGCGUUGUCCGGAUUUAUUGGGCGUAAAGCGAGCGCAGGCGGUUUGAUAAGUCUGAAGUUAAAGGCUGUGGCUCAACCAUAGUUCGCUUUGGAAACUGUCAAACUUGAGUGCAGAAGGGGAGAGUGGAAUUCCAUGUGUAGCGGUGAAAUGCGUAGAUAUAUGGAGGAACACCGGUGGCGAAAGCGGCUCUCUGGUCUGUAACUGACGCUGAGGCUCGAAAGCGUGGGGAGCGAACAGGAUUAGAUACCCUGGUAGUCCACGCCGUAAACGAUGAGUGCUAGGUGUUGGAUCCUUUCCGGGAUUCAGUGCCGCAGCUAACGCAUUAAGCACUCCGCCUGAGGAGUACGACCGCAAGGUUGAAACUCAAAGGAAUUGACGGGGGCCCGCACAAGCGGUGGAGCAUGUGGUUUAAUUCGAAGCAACGCGAAGAACCUUACCAGGUCUUGACAUCCCGAUGCUAUUUCUAGAGAUAGAAAGUUACUUCGGUACAUCGGUGACAGGUGGUGCAUGGUUGUCGUCAGCUCGUGUCGUGAGAUGUUGGGUUAAGUCCCGCAACGAGCGCAACCCCUAUUGUUAGUUGCCAUCAUUCAGUUGGGCACUCUAGCGAGACUGCCGGUAAUAAACCGGAGGAAGGUGGGGAUGACGUCAAAUCAUCAUGCCCCUUAUGACCUGGGCUACACACGUGCUACAAUGGUUGGUACAACGAGUUGCGAGUCGGUGACGGCGAGCUAAUCUCUUAAAGCCAAUCUCAGUUCGGAUUGUAGGCUGCAACUCGCCUACAUGAAGUCGGAAUCGCUAGUAAUCGCGGAUCAGCACGCCGCGGUGAAUACGUUCCCGGGCCUUGUACACACCGCCCGUCACACCACGAGAGUUUGUAACACCCGAAGUCGGUGAGGUAACCUUUUGGAGCCAGCCGCCUAAGGUGGGACAGAUGAUUGGGGUG
rnacentral:rRNA from 1 species